rnacentral:tRNA from 1 species
AAGAUCUUAAGUUAACUUAAACUAAAAACCUUCAAAGUUUUAAAUGAUUACAAAUUCAGAUCUUG